ACUCCUACGGGAGGCAGCAGUCGAGAAUUUUUCACAUGGGGGAAACCCUGAUGGAGCGACGCCGCGUGGAGGAUGAAAGCCUUCGGGUUGUAAACUCCUGUCAUGCGGGAACAAGAAAGUGAUAGUACCGCAAGAGGAAGAGACGGCUAACUCUGUGCCAGCAGCCGCGGUAAU
rnacentral:rRNA from 1 species